rnacentral:tRNA from 1 species
ACCUGGCUGGCUCUGCCGGUGGAGCGUGCAACUCUUAAUCUCUGGGUUGUGGGUUCGAGCCCCACGUUGGGUG